rnacentral:rRNA from 1 species
UACGAAGGGGGCUAGCGUUGCUCGGAAUCACUGGGCGUAAAGCGCACGUAGGCGGACUCUUAAGUCGGUGGUGAAAUCCUGGAGCUCAACUCCAGAACUGCCUCCGAUACUGGGAGCCUUCGAGUCCGGGAGAGGUGAGUGGAACUGCGAGUGUAGAGGUGAAAUUCGUAGAUAUUCGCAAGAACACCAGUGGCGAAGGGCGGCUCACUGGCCCGGUACUGACGCUGAGA